UUAGCAAUCGUUCUACAAAUU
rnacentral:piRNA from 1 species